AAAUUGAAGAGUUUGAUCAUGGCUCAGAUUGAACGCUGGCGGCAGGCCUAACACAUGCAAGUCGAACGGUAACAGGAAGCAGCUUGCUGUUUCGCUGACGAGUGGCGGACGGGUGAGUAAUGUCUGGGAAACUGCCUGAUGGAGGGGGAUAACUACUGGAAACGGUAGCUAAUACCGCAUAACGUCGCAAGACCAAAGAGGGGGACCUUCGGGCCUCUUGCCAUCGGAUGUGCCCAGAUGGGAUUAGCUUGUUGGUG
rnacentral:rRNA from 1 species